UACGUAGGCAGCAAGCGUUGUUCGGAAUUACUGGGCGUAAAGGGCUCGUAGGCGGCCAACUAAGUCGGAUGUGAAAUCCCCAGGCUUAACCUGGGAACUGCAUCCGAUACUGGAUGGCUUGAAUCCGGGAGAGGGAUGCGGAAUUCCAGGUGUAGCGGUGAAAUGCGUAGAUAUCUGGAGAACACCGGUGGCGAAGGCGGCAUCCUGGACCGGCAUUGACGCUGAGGAGCGAAAGCCAGGGGAGCAAACGGGG
rnacentral:rRNA from 1 species